rnacentral:rRNA from 1 species
CAAUAGCGUAUAUUAAAGUUGUUGCAGUUAAAAAGCUCGUAGUUGGAUUUGUGGCGUACGGUGUGUUCCGGGCACUUGUUGUCUGAGUAACCUGCCGUUGCCAUCCUUGGGUGGAACCUGUGCGGCAUUAGGUUGUCGUGCAGGGGAUGCCCAUCAUUUACUGUGAAAAAAUUAGAGUGUUCAAAGCAGGCUUAUGCCGUUGAAUAUAUUAGCAUGGAAUAAUGAGAUAGGACUUUUUUGCUAUUUUGUUGGUUUGCGCAAAGAGGUAAUGAUUAAUAGGGACAGUUGGGGGUAUUCGUAUUCCAUUGUCAGAGGUGAAAUUCUUGGAUUUUUGGAAGACGAACUACUGCGAAAGCAUUUACCAAGGAUGUUUUCAUUAA